CAGUAGCCGCGGGAAUACGAAGGGGGCUAGCGUUACUCGGAAUUACUGGGCGUAAAGGGAGCGUAGGCGGACAUUUAAGUCAGGGGUGAAAUCCCAGAGCUCAACUCUGGAACUGCCUUUGAUACUGGGUGUCUUGAGUGUGAUAGAGGUAUGUGGAACUCCGAGUGUAGAGGUGAAAUUCGUAGAUAUUCGGAAGAACACCAGUGGCGAAGGCGACAUACUGGAUCAUUACUGACGCUGAGGCUCGAAAGCGUGGGGAGCAAACAGGAUUAGAUACCCCCGUAGUCCCUGUCUCUUAUAC
rnacentral:rRNA from 1 species